rnacentral:rRNA from 1 species
AGACCUCAGUCAGGCGGGGCUACCCGCUGAGUUUAA